rnacentral:lncRNA from 1 species
GCCUCCAUUAUGCCAAAGAGGCAGAAGAAUUGGGAGUUAUAGAAACUUCCCCCAGUCCUCCCAAUGGGUUCCUUGAUGCAAACAAAGGCAAAAUUUUAGUACCAAGGAUAAUGGGCUUUUAGUCUGGGCUCCCCUGCAAAGCUUUGGAGUAAUCUACUCACCGCUCCUUGCUUGUUUCCUUACGUGUGAGAAGUUAAGUGCACAUUUUAAAAAUCACCUUGAAAAUUAAUUGAAUCCCAAAUGUUUUAAUAAGAUUUAUGUUGGCUACACAAUAAUUAAUAUCUUACUCACCCACCUUGAAAACAAAACAAAACAAACACAGAAUACCACCCCACCACCACCACCAGACCUGUCAGUCCACCCACUCAUUCCUUCAGGACCACCUCUGCAAGCCUAGCACCCCUGGGUUCUGGAGCACACCCCAACACCCCUUCCAGCUAUUUCUGAGGCCUCUCAAGCAGGGCUGGACUUCAGGCCUAGGCUUGGGCUCUAGCGCCGAAGGGAGUCGGGGGCCCAGGGAAGGACUGGGGUGUGGGCGAGUACUGGCAAGGCCGAGGCGCGCUGGGAAGAGGGCUCCCCUCACCGACGCCGGCCUUGGCGCAGCUGUUCAGUCACAACCGCGAGAAGGGCGCCCUGGAUUCCAGAGGCACAGGCACGUUUUUUAAAAAAAGCAAGAAAAAAGCCACCACGGACUCGAAUUUCUGGAAGCCGGAGCGGGGUUUUCGCCUUAAACACUGAGCCAGAACCCCUCUGCGCUGCCCCGGCCUCUCCGUUACCCGUUUUCGGUUUGCUUUUGGAAGAACCGGUUCCUCAGCCCCGCGUCGCCUCAGUGGUGCCACCCGUGCAGGGGCGUUGCAACCCUUUGAAGAAGUGUGUAGCUAAUAGCCCAUAUAUAAUUCAGAAGAAGUCUUCAAUGGAAGACCCCCAGGGGAUAAAUGGACAGUCUGUAAGUAAACAGAAUGUCAGUCUUAAGGAAAGAGUUAUUACUUUUAAAAUCAUAAUGA